GCUUGUCUCAAAGAUUAAGCCAUGCAUGUCUAAGAAUAAGCCCUUGAAUGGUGAAUCUGCGAAUGGCUCAUUAAAUCAGUUAUUGUUUAUUUGAUGGUACCUUACUACUUGGAUAACCGUAGUAAUUCUAGAGCUAAUACAUGCGUCAAGCCCCGACUUCGGAAGGGGUGCAUUUAUUAGAUUCAAACCAUCGGCCUUCACGGGUCUUUGAUGGUGAGUCAUAAUAACUGAGCGAAUCGAAUGGCCUUGUGCCGUCGAUGCUUCAUUCAAAUUUCUGCCCUAUCAGCUUUGGAUGGUAGGGUAUUGGCCUACCAUGGCUUUAACGGGUAACGGAGAAUUAGGGUUCGAUUCCGGAGAGGGAGCCUGAGAAAUGGCUACCACAUCCAAGGAAGGCAGCAGG
rnacentral:rRNA from 1 species